UGUUAUAUAGUUUAAUAAAAACAUUAAUUUUGUAAAUUAAAAAUUUAAUAUUUAAUUAAUAUAACUA
rnacentral:tRNA from 1 species